UAACACGUGGGUAACCUGCCUUAUAGUGGGGGAUAGCCUUUCGAAAGGAAGAUUAAUACCGCAUAAGAUUGUAGUAUCGCAUGAUAUAGCAAUUAAAGGAGCAAUUCGCUAUAAGAUGGACCCGCGUCGCAUUAGCUAGUUGGUGAGGUAAUGGCUCACCAAGGCGACGAUGCGUAGCCGACCUGAGAGGGUGACCGGCCACAUUGGGACUGAGACACGGCCCAGACUCCUACGGGAGGCAGCAUG
rnacentral:rRNA from 1 species